rnacentral:rRNA from 1 species
GGUUGACCUCGGAUCAGGUAGGGAUACCCGCUGAACUUAAGCAUAUCAAUAAGCGGAGGAAAAGAAACCAACAGGGAUUGCCUCAGUAACGGCGAGUGAAGCGGCAAGAGCUCAAAUUUGAAAGCUGGCCCCUUCGGGGUCCGCAUUGUAAUUUGCAGAGGAUGCUUCGGGAGCGGCCCCCAUCUAAGUGCCCUGGAACGGGCCGUCAUAGAGGGUGAGAAUCCCGUCUGGGAUGGGGUGCCCGCGCCCGUGUGAAGCUCCUUCGACGAGUCGAGUUGUUUGGGAAUGCAGCUCUAAAUGGGUGGUAAAUUUCAUCUAAAGCUAAAUACUGGCCGGAGACCGAUAGCGCACAAGUAGAGUGAUCGAAAGAUGAAAAGCACUUUGAAAAGAGAGUUAAACAGCACGUGAAAUUGUUGAAAGGGAAGCGCUUGCGACCAGACUCGCUCGCGGGGUUCAGCCGGCCUUCGGGCCGGUGUACUUCCCCGCGGGCGGGCCAGCGUCGGUUUGGGCGGCCGGUCAAAGGCCCUCGGAAUGUAACGCCCCCCGGGGCGUCUUAUAGCCGAGGGUGCCAUGCGGCCAGCCCGGACCGAGGAACGCGCUUCGGCUCGGACGCUGGCAUAAUGGUCGUAAGCGACC